rnacentral:tRNA from 1 species
GUGUUGAGAAUUAAGCAUCUAUCGGCCUUUUAAGCCGUUGGUCCGGGGUUCGAGUCCCCGCCAACCCACCA